UACCUUGCAAUCCUACUAGUACUUCUCCUUGUAACCAACUAGUAGUCAUGCUCCCGGAGUAUAUAAAGGAGGGCAGGGGUCCCUAAAUGGAAAGGCCUCAUAGAACCACAAUAGAGGACCAAAUCCUCAAUACCAAACAACAUCCAAGCGCAUUGUGUAAUAUACAACACCCCAAAGAGGACGGAGGGUAUUAUGCUACUCUGGUGGCCUGAACCUGUAUAAAUCCGUGUCUUGUGUCCUCGCUUUUACCUUCAAGUUCCAGGUCUGAUUAUCCC
rnacentral:lncRNA from 1 species